CCACCCGGCCCGGCGCCCCAGCCCUGCAGCCCGGCCCCGGCCGCCACCCCCGGCCCCGCGCAGCGCCGGCUCCGGCUCGCGGCCGCAGGCUCGCAGUGGCACUUACUCAGCUCGUCCUGGGAGGCGGAGGCGGCGGCCGCAGCCAUGUUGCGCCGGGCAGGGAGGGAGGGGCCGGAGGGGGAGGGCGCGGACCGGCGGCGCGGGGGGCUCGCCGCUCGCGGGGCGGCAGGGGCCGUGAGCCCGCCCCGGUCGCUCGGCACGGGCCGCGCGGCGCCCACGAGGCCCGCCCGCCGCCGCCCGCGUCCUCCUCGCUGCACGCGUCGCUCUCGCCGUCCCCGCGAGCUCGCGACCCGGGCGCUCCUGCAGCCUCGCGCCUCUGCGGAGCCGCCGCCGCCUGUCGACCGAGUCCCGGCGCGCCCGGCCCGCGCGGCGGCUCUGCGGCUCCGCGCCGCGCUCCCCAACUCACGCCGGUUUUAUAUUUAGAAAGAGCUGAGCCAUCCUCCCAGCGGCCCCCCCGCCGGGCCCCUCGCGCGCCCGCCCGCCCUCGCUCGCUCGCUCGCUCGCGGCUCGUCCUGCCCACCUGCCCGCCGCCCGCCCCGCGCGCCGGAGCCGGCCCGCGAGCGCUCCCCGCGCCGACCCGGCACGCGGAGGCCUGCGCCGGCGGCCCGGCCUAGCAGCCCCGCCGCGCCGGCGCCGCCUGCAGCCUGCGGCGGCCCCGGCGCGGGGCGGGGCGGCCUCUGACCUGAGUCCGAGCCGGUCUCCAUGCGGGAUGCUGCGCUGGGCGCCGCGAGGUGGGCGCCCCGGAGCCAGGCGUUCGGCGGGCUCGGCCCCGAGGAGCCGCGCGCCGCAGGCGGUGAGGGGCUUGACCGAGCCGGGCCGCGCUGCCCGGGCCGCGGGAGACCGUCGAGGCGGGGCCGAAGCUCCCUUUUCAAAGGUCCGUGGCUGUCACGUUGGCUGGUCCCGACCUGAAGAAACACGCCUGUCCAAAGGAAGAGACGUGGACUCGGAGAAGUGGAGCCGGGUUCGGAGUCGGCGGGAGGAAGCUCCGCCCUGCGCCGCCCGCCGAACUUCUCGGCCCCGGCGCUGACUCAGUCCCGGGCGAGCCCCGGCGCCGCGAACGGCCCGGGACCCCCGGGUGCCUUUGCUUAAAGGCGGUGAUCGAGUGUAGAUUUCUGAAGCUCUUGGAAACUAGCGUUACCGAGUGCAGGAAAAUCAGAGGAAGAAAUCAGGAUCCUAAAUGGAUUGACAUUGCGUUUAUUCCUAAAAGCGGAAAUCUGUAAAGCCCUAGUUAAUGUCUUGAAAAAUGAAUAUAUCGUGUCAUUCCAGAUGUAAGGUAGGCAAGUACAAGGUACUUACACAGCAUUAAAGACAUUUAUUUCCUUUAUUGAUUUUAUUAUAUAAAUCGUACAUGAUUUUUGAAAAAGUUUCAAAUGAUUCAGAUUACCAUAAAAUUAAAAGCGAAAGGCCUUCCUGCCACUUUCCCUGCGAUCCCACUCCCCAGAGA
rnacentral:lncRNA from 1 species